rnacentral:rRNA from 1 species
UACGUAGGGCGCGAGCGUUGUUCGGAUUUAUUGGGCGUAAAGAGCUCGUAGGCGGUUUGUCGCGUCGGAUGUGAAAAUCCAGGGCUCAACCCUGGACCUGCAUUCGAUACGGGCAGACUAGAGUUCGGCAGGGGAGACUGGAAUUUCUGGUGUAGCGGUGAAAUGCGUAGAUAUCAGGAGGAACACCGGUGGCGAAGGCGGGUCUCUGGGCCGAUAUCGACGCUGAGGAGCGAAAGCGUGGGGAGCGAACAGG